CGCGGCGACGCGAAGGACAGUGCCACAGAAAAGAUACCGCCUGCCGGUGUUUCGCCGGCCGGUAAGGGUGAAAUGGCGAGGUAAGAGCUCACCGCGCCCCGGGUGACCGGGACGGCAAGGCAAACCCCACCUGGAGCAAGACCAAAUAGGAGGGCUCCCUGGUUUUUUAAGGGAAACCGCGGCCCGCGGCGCCCUCGGGUUGGUUGCUGGAGGCCGGCCGUAAGGCCGGUCCUAGAGAAAUGACCGUCACCCGGCUUGCCGGGGACAGAACUCGGCUUACAGGGCUACUCCAUUU
rnacentral:RNase_P_RNA from 1 species